rnacentral:tRNA from 1 species
GUUUCCAUAGUGUAGUGGUUAUCACGUUAAGCCUCACACACUUGAAAGGUCCCCAGUUUGAAACUGGGUGGAAACA